AUGUUCGUAGGCUACUCUAACAAAGAUGGAGGAGCGAAGUAUCUGUCCUCUGCCGAUGGCAAAGGCAGAUACUGAAAAUUACAUUAAUAGUAUUCCUAAAAUAUCUUCAGUUUCAGAUGCUGACACAGUAAUAAACACUUAUAAUAUCAAUAGUUCCCAGCUCAAAGGAGACCUUGGGGAAGACCAGACACUGAAGGGACUGCUGACUGACGAUCACUGCCAUGUGUGUGAUGCCGUACUGCUGUUUGAGUCUCAGAGGGUCUCGCACUACGAGGGAAAGAAGCACGCUCAGAAGCUGAGACUUUACCUGCAAGUAAAGAAAGAUGAGAAGCGGAAUAAAGACUCCAGCGGUUCUCAGAGGUGCAUUACGAUGGACAAGAAGCGCUUCUGUGAGCUGUGCAACAUGGUCUUCAGCUCGCCUGUGGUAGCACGCUCACACUACAGAGGGAAGGUCCAUGCCAAGAACCUGCGCAAACAGGGCCUUAACCCCACCGCCAAUCCAUCAGGCGCCUCAAAUCAGAAUGUAGCCCAGACCAGCCUACCCCUUCCCACUCAAGCUCCUAGCACGGUGGGCCCCCAAAUGUCUGAGGAGGGGAACGAGGACUCAGACCCGGACCCCUACGCCCCUGCAGAUGUGGACCUCAGUGACCCCAACAAACACUGUCGCCUAUGCGCCGCCUCCUUCAACAACCCCCACAUGGCAUUGCAGCACUACAAUGGGCGCAAGCACCAGAGGAACCACUCUCGCCAGCAGUUGCUCCAAGACCUGGGAAAUGACCGCGUGCAGGAAAACUGCUUGACAUGUCUGAUAUGCAGCAUCAAGCUCAACUCUGUGGAAAUGUACCAGGCUCACAUGCAAGGAAAUAAGCAUCAGAUCAGAGAGAAGAAGGUUCUCGACCUGUGCAAGUCUCAAAAGAAGGCGUACAGCUCGUUUACCGAUGAGUUAGCUGACUAUGUCCAGGUCCAAAAGGCUCGUGGGCUCGCUCCCAAGACCAAUGUGGGCUCCACCAGGGGAAAGGGACAAACCAAAGGAGAGGAGCAGGAGGAGGAGGAAGACGGGGGAGGAAGAGGGAACAGCACCCAGAGCGAAAGCCCAGAACCCAGUGCCAAAACCCCAUACCUUCCUCUCUCUUUACAUCCUCUAUGUCCCCCACACCCCACUGCUUUUUAUCCCCCCACAGGCUGGCGUCCGCAUUAUCAGGUUGCGCCUACUGACCGGAACAGCCACGGUUGGGGCCCCACCUUCCCUCACCUCCCCCCUCAGCCCCUGGUCCCAGGCUUGACUUCGUCGAGAUUGCAUGGCCAUCCAUCAGCCCGGAAGAGGGCCAGGGAGCAUUCGAGCUCCUCCUCUUCUUACACGAGCUCGUCCCCCUCUUCGUAUACCAGUAGCAGUAGUGACAGCAGCACCAGCUACAGCGACAGUAGCGAGCACGGGGAAAGAAGGAGGGGGAGGGGGAAGAGCAGGAAGGAGAGAAGAUGGAGGGUGAGAGACGAGGAGGAGGAGAGGAGGAGGAGAAAGCGGGGGAUGCAGAUAAGAGACGACUCCGAAGGAAGGAAAGGGAGAGGGAAUGAAGCGGAGGAGGAGAGGGGAAGGAAGAGUAGAAAAAGACAGAGCAAGAGUUCCAGACAUGGAGAGGGACAGUCAGUAAAAAGAAGACGUGAGGACAGCGGAGAGGGAUAUGGGGGAUGGAAUGUCAAAAAGCAAGAGAUUGUGGAAGAGAAUGUCGGAUCUGCAGAACAGACCUUGGUCCACAUGCAGUCAGAGACGAAGGAGAGUUCGGAAGAGAGGGAACAGAAUAAACCCAAGCAUAGGAAAGACAAAAGGAAAAUGAAGGAGAAAGUGGACACCAGGACAGAGGAGGAAAAGCUAUGGGACGAGUCUAUCCUAGGCUUGUAAAGCAAAGCAGCUUUACUGUUCCCUUCACAUUAAGACUUGUGUAACAUUGUUUUGACAUGAGGACGUUGUUAGUGAGCGACCAGACUAGCUGCAGUAUAUAUAGAGACAUACUGUACACUCUCAACACAAAGCCUGAUCAGUGUAUGCUAGAAGGCCAGCCACAUGCUUUGUCAAAAUGUUAAAGAAAUUGAUGUUAUGAAACACGCAUGGUUCACCUUUGUCUAUGAUGGCUGAGAACUUUUGACUUCAGUAAGGUCAUGUUUGUUUAGUUUUCAGUUAAUAUUAAGCCAAUGUGAGAUUUUUUGUCCCAAAAACAGCCUCUGUAUUGUACCUUUACAUUAUAACUGUGUAUUCUGAUGAAUGGAUACUGUUUUGACAGACCUCACAAAAUACAAAUACCAUCACAAUACAAAUCUUUUUGUGAGAGAGAGAUUCAAUAAGCGGUAUUCACACAUGCAUAGAUUCAAUGUUCUGUUGGCCUGAUUUCCACAAUGUAGUACAUUAUUUUCCAUACAUUUUAUUUGACCUGUUUUGAUCAGGUACACAACAGCAGCCUCGGAAACAAAGGGCCCUUAUUUAUUUCGUUUUCAGCUAACAAGACCUGGGUCUUACUUUCAAAUACUUAUUCUACUUUCAGUGUACCCGUUACAAUGAAACCAGUCCAAUUCUGUAAAUGUACACUGCAGACAAUACAAGGCCUUUAAGUACUCUAUUGUAUGAGUGAUAGAGACGGGUAGAGACAUUGAUAAUACUUUCUAACAAUCUGUCACCAGGAAGCAAUAUUUACCUGAGAAAUAAUACGUGUGUACAGAUAUGUCGUGUCGUGCCAUAUGUCGUUGAUAUAUGGUUUGCUAUCUUGCUAUCCAACCCUUGCACACUUAUUAUUCAACAGUUCAAUGGACCGGGGAGUGAAAGAGGUGGUUUACCUAAAAUAGUAAACUGAUAAUAAUAUUAUAUCCCAUUUCCCUGAUAACAAUAUCCAUGGCGACCACUAGAUAGUGCUGUUGAGCCAUAGUAAACCUUUCUGUUUCUGAAAUUAUUUUGUGCUCUAGAAUGUAAUACUGUGGCUCAUUUGUCAUCCAAACUCCCACACACGCAAUAUCUACAACUAACAGACAAGAUACAAAAGCAGACAAGACACUACAUUUAGAAUGGCCAAAUAAGAUGAGUUGUAGGAACCUUGAAAUGUUAACUUUUACAAACUGUAGACAUAAAAAAACCUGCUACUUUACAAUGAGAAUGUCAUUGUAAAGUAGCAGGUUUUUAUGAUAAUCUUAAGACUGCCCCAAAACAUUUUAUUUAAUAAUCUUUAGUGAAUGGCUAAAUAAAAAUGAACUGUGCAUGUUUUUGUGUGAAUACUACCACAUGUCUACAUGUCUGUUGAAUUUCCACAGCAAAUAAUGACAGUAUUUUUUGACACCCACAUCGUACAAUUUAGAACAUUCACAAAGCAGUUUGUUAGGAAAGUGCCAUCCAAACAAAUUCAGAUCCCGACAUUUGUCACGAGGGUUAAUGUAGUAGUUUCAAAAUGUGCAUGUUUUACCUUGCGUUGUUUAAAGUACUAUAGCAUGUGACAUUUUUGUUUAACAGAAACUUCUAAAGACCUUUGUGUCUUUAUGUCUGCACUACACACAACAAAAAACAUUUCUACACAUGGCUUUGGAACUUGAGUCGUAGACACCAACAAAGGCUUUGACUUUCACAGAGGUGUGUAGGGUGAGAGAGAGAUACUAUGAAGCCCCCCUGAGAUCUCCUGUUUUCAAAGAAUCCUGUGGUCACGUUCCUUUGUCUCUUUCGAAUCCCAGACCCUCGUAGAGCCAGGCGGUGCCCACAUCCUCCCCUUUACGACCCCCACCUAGACCUUAAUGUGCCCCCGCACCCACCCCCCAUGCCUCCUAAAUUCCUCAGCCUCACCCACACGACACACUGCCAAACUAUAUAGCAGUAUUUUAUUUCAUUAAAAUAUCAGAGUCUUCUGUGUGCCAUGAAAAAAUGAAUUGUGAAUCAAAGGGUUAUCCGUUCAUGAUUACUGUUAAUUACCUGUAUGGAUUCUCAGAAGCAAGAAAGUGUAUUGUCCCCAACAUAAUAUACUUUUUCUUUCAUUCUUCAAUGUGAUCUUCCAAGCAAUGUUUUCUGGAAGGUACGCUUUUGACCCUUUUUGAGACCUUUGUAACUCGCUCCAACAGUUUAAGAGUGUUCUAUCAUAUGUGCCACUUUGGUUCAUUUACAUAUGUACAUCUAUUUGACAGUGAUCUACCUUCCUUAUAGUGUUAACUUUGUGUUGACAACAAAUGUGGAGACGCUUUCUUUUGAUUCCAUAGUUACAUCCAAGGUUGCAGUAUCAAAAGCUUCUCAAUGCGCUAGUUUUUCAUUAGUCAAUUUAAUCUGUGCAUGGUAUUAUGUGACUUACAAAUGGAAAAAGGUACAUUUAUUCACAUUUUAUUCAAAGUAGUAACAUUUACGACACACUGAUAGUGGUCAGUUUCCCGCUUUUUCUUUCAGAAAAAGAAAAAAGGACUCUGGCGGGUUGUGUGUCUUAUUUUGCUGGUUUUAAGGCUCUCUCCCCCGGUAU